rnacentral:rRNA from 1 species
UACGAAGGGUGCAAGCGUUAUUCGGAGUUACUGGGCGUAAAGAGUAUGUAGGCGGUUUGUUAAGUUAGUUGUUAAAUACCACGGCUCAACUGUGGAAAGGCAGCUAAAACUGGCAAGCUAGAGCGCAGAAGAGAGGAGUGGAAUUCCCGGAGUAGCGGUAAAAUGCGUAGAUCUCGGGAGGAACACCGGUUGCGAAGGCGGCUUCUUGGUCUGUGGCUGACGCUAAAGUACGAAAGCGUGGGGAGCAAACAGGAUUAGAUACCCUGGUAGUCCACGCUGUAAACGAUGAUCACUGGAUGUGGGCCGGGCUUAGCCUGGUCUGUGUCGAAGCUAACGCGUUAAGUGAUCCGCCUGGGAAGUACGGUCGCAAGAUUAAA